UACGAAGGGUGCAAGCGUUACUCGGAAUUACUGGGCGUAAAGCGUGCGUAGGUGGUCUGUUAAGUCUGAUGUGAAAGCCCUGGGCUCAACCUGGGAAUUGCAUUGGAUACUGGCAGGCUAGAGUGCGGUAGAGGAUGGCGGAAUUCCCGGUGUAGCAGUGAAAUGCGUAGAGAUGUGGAGGAACACCGAUGGCGAAGGCAGCCUCCUGGGCUAGUACUGACGCUCAUGCACGAAAGCGUGGGGAGCAAACAGG
rnacentral:rRNA from 1 species